CUCUGGAGUGGCUCUACCUCAGGGCCUCAGGAGCAGUUCUCACUGGACCCGGGGGGGAAACCAGUAGGGAAACGGAGGCCUUCCCAAGCACAGAGCAAGGACGGCCCUCUCCCAUUCAGCAGCUGGAUGUCAGUCAGGGCUCUUACUGUGUCCUUGACCUGGGAACUCCCCGAGCACCUGGCCGGCGGGACCGUUGCCCACAAUUCGGAGGACUUACAGGUGGAGCUGCUCAGGGUCUACUUUUAUCCAUUCCCAGAGGCCUUGACACUCCACCCACCCUGUGGCCUGCUUUCCUGGAACCUGCCAGCGAUCCAGCUGAGUGCUUGCCAGACCCUUUGCUGGGUGCUGGGAUGGUAUGAGAGCAAACGAAUGCGCUCCUCUAGUGAACUUUAGUCUGCUGGGCGAGAUAGACAUUAUUAGUGAAUACUUAAUAAUUGCUCAAGGGAAAGUUUUCAGCGUUGACAAAGUUUAAUAAAAGUGCCAGGAGUGCCAGGAGCAUGAAUAAGCAAGAGACCUGAUGCAGACUUGGGGGUCAGGGAAAUGAUACCGGAGAUCUGAGGAAUUUACAGGAGUUAACUACACGGAAAAGAAGUAGGGCACCGCAGGAGACCCUGAACUGGUGAGAGAACUGCAAGAUCUGUAUGACAAAUCCUAGAGUAGGGGAACAGUGGAGGAGAUAAGGAUACAAAGAUCACCAAGGACAGUAGAUCAUGGAAGGAGUUGUGGUCUAGGCCCUAAAAGGAAUGGGGAGCCACUGAAGGAUUUUAACCAGGUAUUUCCAAAAGAUGUUGGCAGGAGCCAUAAUGGAUGUGUCUGGAGGAAAUGAACAGGUCAUUGAGUCAGGUGACUUGAAAACUCUUUGCUGGAGGACCGGAUUCUAGUCUACUGAGAGCUGUUCCAUACCAAAACUGCCAGAGACUGUUGGAGUAGAGGGUGACUGCUCACUCAGGCUUGUGAGACCUGUUGAGUGAUUGGGGAUCACUGCUGAGAUGCCUCCUUCUGGGGAUUUCCCCUUGGAGUGGACUUCUGGAGAAAUGACAGUCCCUUGCUACUGUGUUUAAUUGGAGAGGAUCUCAGAGAUCCGAGAUUAUAAUUAUGACGCCCUAAAUGCCGAGCUCUUCGAAAGUCUGCCAUUGCCCUUGCUGUCACCCUGAACAUCUCUGAAAAUCCAAACCCUGCAGCCCCCAGAGCAUGCCCUGCGUCUCUCAGCCACGCCUCACCUGGGAAAUCUGAGUGAUGGUGACGUGCAGGCAGCAGGAAGACACGCAGUAAACCCAGGAGCCUGUGAUGAGCUCAGAAGAGGUGAGUUGAUGAUCUGCUAUUUAUAGCCCCAC